UACGGAGGAUCCGAGCGUUAUCCGGAUUUAUUGGGUUUUAAAGGGUGCGUAGGCGGCCUAUUAAGUCAGGGGUGAAAGACGGUAGCUUAACUAUCGCAGUGCCUUUGAUACUGAUGGGCUUGAAUGUAGUUGAGGUAGGCGGAAUGUGACAAGUAGCGGUGAAAUGCAUAGAUAUGUCACAGAACACCAAUUGCGAAGGCAGCUUACUAAAGUAUGAUUGACGCUGAGGCACGAAAGCGUGGGGAUCAAACAGG
rnacentral:rRNA from 1 species